rnacentral:rRNA from 1 species
UACGGAGGAUGCAAGCGUUAUUCGGAUUGAUUGGGCGUAAAGCGUGUGUAGGCGGUUACGCUAGUCGGCUGUUAAAGAUCAGGGCUGAACCCUGAGCAAGCAGUCGAAACUGCGUGACUGGAGUACGGUAGGGGCAGAGGGAAUUCCCGGUGUAGCGGUGAAAUGCGCAGAUAUCAGGAGGAACAUCGGUGGCGAAGGCGGUUCUCUGGGCAUUACCUGACGCUGAGGAGCGAAAGCGUGGGGAGCGAACAGG